rnacentral:lncRNA from 1 species
AGGAAGAAUACAAGACAUUUUGAUAGAACUGACAGAGCACAAAAUACCAUGGAGAGGUGACAAAAGGAGUAAUUUGUGUUUGCUGGAACAUGAAGUUGUGGAGGCCAAAAAUAAUUGUUUCUGAAAAGAGCCUUUAAAGAAUGGAAUAAUCACCAGAAAUACAGAGAGACCAUGCCAAGAGUAAGGAGGAGAAGGCACAAAGGCAUAGUAUCAGGGAAGAAUUUUCUAGGAAUAAUGAAUAUUUCAAGUUAGCUGGACCAUAAGUACAUAAGGGGAAGUGGUGAGGCCUCAGAAUUAUAACUUUGUUCAAUAUUAUGUAAUGAACUUAUGUAAUGUCUAUUGAAUGCCUGGCCAGAGCCUGGACUUGAUCCUAAAGGCAGUGAAGGGCCAUUGAGAGAUUUGAGGACUUGAAGAAAAUAUCUGGAGCUACAGUUCAGGAAGAUUGUUCUGAUGCUAGUUUGGAGCAAAAUCUGCAUUUACAAACCUAAAAAUAAUUUUCCUGACUGUUAUUUUAACAUUUAAUGAGUUAAAUUCUCAGCGGUCUGUAUUCCCUGUUCUCUCUUCCAACUAAGCAUGUAUUGUUUUCAAAGUUUGGAGAGAAGAGAAAUAAUAAAUAACAUGUUAUUAUUUCAUACCUAUGAUGUCACAAUAUAGGAGUUAUAACCUUGGUUUUCAGAUAAGGAAAGCAGUGGUUGGCUUGGGGAAAGAACAGAAGGACUUUUGGGGAAAGGCAUGCCUGGAGGCCAGCACCCUAGUUGGUGAAUGCUUGAAAAAAUGUUUUGAUGUUGAGUCUGAGCCACACGGCCUUCUGCUAACAUGGUUUAAGUGCAUCUGUACAGGGAAGGAACUACCUAUUUUGAUUGCCUGAAUUCAAAUUAUGGCUCUCAUACUUACCUAUUGGAUGACUUGGGGCUAAUGCAUAAACUUCUUUAAUCCUCAGGUUCCUCAUCUGUAAAAUGGAAUGCUAAAACUGUGUACCUCAUAGAGUAGAAUUAAAUAAGUUAAUAAGCAAAAGCACUAAAACAGUGUCUAGCACAUAGUAUGUACUGUGUAAUAAAAAUAUUCGCUAUUUUAAUAGGACUGUUGCCACUAAUGAUAAUGAUGUAUUCUAAAUGCCUAGAACACUACUGUACAAAAGAGGUGCUAAGUUGUAUUUGAGUUAAUAGAUGGAUUAAUGAAAAUUCUACCCAAGUAAUUUCUAUGAGAAAUUUAAUGAACUUAUGUAAUUUCUAUAAAGGUGAUCGCAAACCACAAAGACCUCAGGACUGACUGCUCACUGAAGCAAAGUUAAGUGUUAGAAUACUUGGUACUCAAGAUGCAAGGUGAUCAGGAUAGGAUCCCUAUUAUUCAGAUCUUGUAUAGAGUGCUCAAAACAAACUAUAUUAUUAAUUUAGCACAGUAAUUAGCAAAAUUCUCAAAAGGUUUCCUUUAUUUCAGUUAUUUCACUUAUGAUAUAAAACAUAGUCACAAAACAGAAAGCUUGAUGCACAGAAAUGUUCACCAUAUUUAUAAUUGCAAAAAAAAAACUCAGCCCAACAUCUAAAUGUGGCAAAAUGAGUAAACAAAUUGGCAAGCAUUCAAUGAAAGGAACAUUAGCCAUACUCUUUAAAUGUCAUAGUAAGACAUAUAUAUUAGAAGAUAUAUAUAUGCAUUAGAUACAUGUCAUAAUAAGAUAUUAGAAGACAUACGUAUUAUAUGUAAGUUUUAUUGACGUCUAGUUGGUUUUCAAUGUCAUGAUUGUUUUGCUGUACAACAAAGUGAUUUAGUUAUACAUGUACACAUAUCCAUUCUUUAUUCAGAUUCUUUUUCCAUAUGGGUUAUCACAGAGUAUUGAGUAACGUUCCCUGUGCUAUAUAUACAGCAAGUCUCCAUUGGCCAUCCAUUCCAUAUGCAAUAAUGUGUAUAUGCCAAUACGAAACCCCCAGUCUAUCCCUCCCCCCACCUUUCCCCUUUGGUAACCACAAGUUUGUUUUGAAGUCUAUGUCUGUUUCUGUUUUGUAAAUAAGUUCACUUUUAUCCUUUUUUUUUUUUAGAUUCCACAUAUUGGUGAUAUCCUUUGAUGUUUGUCUUCAUCUGACUGACUUCAUUUAGUAGGACAGUCUUUCUAGGUCCACCCAUGUUGACGCAAAUGGCAUUAUUUCAUUACUUUUAUGGCUGAGUAAUAUUACAUUGUACAUCUUCUUUAUCCAUCCAUCGAUGGACACUUAGGUUGCUUCCAUGUGUCUUGACUUUUGUGAAUAGUGCUGCAAUGAACACAGGGGUACAUGUAUCUUUUUGAAUUAUAGUUUUCUCUGUAAGUCUGGGAUUCUGGGAUUGCUGGGUCAUAUGCUAGUUCUAUUUUUAGAGAACUAGCAUACUGUUAGAGGAGCCCCAUACUGUUUUCCAUAGUGGUUGUACCAAUUUGCAUUCCCAUCAAUAGUGUAGGAGGGUUCCUUUUUCUCCACUCCCUCUCCCACCAUUUGUUAUUUGUAGACUUGUUAAUGAUGGCCUUUCUGACUGCUAUGAGGUAGCGCAUCAUUGUAGUUUUGGAUUUGCAUUUCUCUAAUAAUUAGUGAUAAUGAGCCCCUUUUCAUCUGUAUGUCGUCUUUGAAGAAAUGUCUUCAGGUCUAAUCCUUUUUUGAGUGAGUUGUUUGUUCUUUGGAUACAGAAGUGCAUGAGUUGUUUGUAUGUCUUAGAGAUGAUCCCUGUCAGUUGCUUUUUUUGAAAAUAUUUUCUCCCAUUCUUUGGGUUCUCUUUUCAUUUUGUUUAUAGUUUCCUUUGUUGUGCAAAAGCUUGUAAGUUUCAUUAGGUCUGAUUUAUUUAUUUUUGUUUUUUUAUUUACAUUAGUAGGUGGAUCCAAAAAAAAAUUAAUGCUGUGAUUUGUGUCAAAGAUUGUUCUGUUUUUUCUUCUAAUAAGAGUUUUAUAGUAUCCUGUCUUACAUUUAGCUCUUUAAUCCAUUUUGGAUUUAUUUUUGUGUAUGGUGUUAGAGAAUCUUCUAACUUGAUUCUUUUACAUGUAAGUGUCAAGUUCUCCCAGCACCACUUACUGAAGAGACUGUCUUCUCUCCAUUGUAUGUUCUUGCCUCCUUUGUGAUAAGUUGACCAUAGGUGAGUGGUUACUUCUGGGCUUUUUACCCUGAUCCAUUGAUCUGUAUUUCUGUUUUUGUGUCAGUAAUGUAGGAAUGUUAUCAAAUUGCUAUAAGAGGAGGGAAGAAGAAAAACCCUGUAUCUAGAAUAUGUUUUGCUUAACCUAGGAUCUAUAAACAGAUAUAAAUUUCCAAUGAGCUUUCUGAAUUUUAUGCAAAAUUCUGUUUAUAUGGAUUGUGUCUAUGGUAUGUAUAUAGCAAAUUUUAUGUCCAUGUCUGUGACCCCUCAACAAGGUAAGCACUGGUGUUUUGGAACACAUUUAAGUCUAGAUUGAGGUACUUUAGGUAGAUUAGCUAUAGACCUGUGUAUCAAGAGAAGACAAAAUAUAUCUGAUAUUAAAUCUACAGGCAUGUCACUCAAAGACUCAUAGCGCUGGGCAGUCUGUUGCCCACGGACCAAACCUGUCCACUCUUAUUUUUGCAUGGCCCAUAAGCUAGAAUCUUUAAUAUUUUUCAAGAGUUAUGGGUGGGAGUGGGGUGAGGGAUAACAACAAAAAAGAUAUGAGACAGAGACCAUAAGUGGCUUGCAAAACCUAAAUAUUUAUUUAUUUAUUAUAUCUUUAUUAUUUUUUAUUUUUUCCUCUGUACAGCAUGGGGACCACAUUACACAUACAUGUAUGCAUACUUUUUCGUCCCAUUGUUGUGCUGCAAUGUAAGUAUCUAGAUAUAGUUCUCAAUGCUACACAGCAGGAUCUCAUUGUAAAUCCAUCCCAAAAGCAAUAGUUUGCAUCCCUUAACCCCAAGCUCCUGAUCCCUCCCACUCCCUCCUCCCUCCUCCCCCACCCCCCAGAGGCAGCAACAAGUCUAUUCUCCAACUCCAUGAUUUUCUUUUCUAUGGAAAUGUUCAUUUGUGCUGUACAUUAGAUUCCAGUUAUAAGUGAUAUCAUAUGGUAUUUAUCUUUCUCUUUCUGAUUUACUUCACUCAGUAGGAGAGUCUCUAGUCCCAUCCAUGUUGCUGCAAAUGGCAUUAAGUCAUUCUUUUUUAUGGCUGAGCAGUAUUCUGUUGUGUAUAUAUACCACAUCUUCCUAAUCCAAUCAUCUGUUGAUGGACAUUUGGGUUGUUCCCAUGUCUUGGCUAUUGUGAAUAGAGCUGCAAUGAACAUGCGGGUACAUGUGUCUUUUUUAAGGAAAGUUUUGUCUGGAUAUACGCCCAAGAGUGGGUUUGCUGGGUCAUAGGGUAGUUCUGUGUAUAGAUUUCUAAGCUAUCUCCAUACUGUUCUCCAUAGUGGCUGUACCAGUUUACAUUCCCACCAACAGUGCAGGAGGGUUCCCUUUUCUCCACAGCCCCUCCAGCACUUGUUAUUUGUGGACUUAUUAAUGAUGGCCAUUCUGACUGGU